rnacentral:rRNA from 1 species
AGAGUUUGAUCCUGGCUCAGAUUGAACGCUGGCGGCAUGCUUUACACAUGCAAGUCGAACGGUAACAGGUCUUCGGAUGCUGACGAGUGGCGAACGGGUGAGUAACACAUCGGAACAUGCCUAGUUGUGGGGGACAACUACUCGAAAGAGUAGCUAAUACCGCAUAAGAUCUACGGAUGAAAGCAGGGGACCUUCGGGCCUUGCGCAACUAGAGUGGCCGAUGGCAGAUUAGGUAGUUGGUGGGGUAAAGGCUCACCAAGCCUGCGAUCUGUAGCUGGUCUGAGAGGACGACCAGCCACACUGGGACUGAGACACGGCCCAGACUCCUACGGGAGGCAGCAGUGGGGAAUUUUGGACAAUGGGCGAAAGCCUGAUCCAGCAAUGCCGCGUGCAGGACGAAGGCCUUCGGGUUGUAAACUGCUUUUGUACAGAACGAAAAGCUUUGGGUUAAUACCCUGAAGCCAUGACGGUACUGUAAGAAUAAGCACCGGCUAACUACGUGCCAGCAGCCGCGGUAAU